rnacentral:pre_miRNA from 9 species
UCUCGAUAGCGUAAAAGUUAACUCAAAUUUGUAUGGAGUUGGAACGUUUGCCAACUUUUGCCGCUAGGGGCGCUGUUCCAACUGCAUACAAAUUUAAGUUAAUUUUAACUCUAUCGA